rnacentral:tRNA from 1 species
GCGGAAGUAGUUCAGUGGUAGAAUACAACCUUGCCAAGGUUGGGGUCGCGGGUUCGAAGCCCGUCUUCCGCU